rnacentral:rRNA from 1 species
UACGUAGGUGGCAAGCGUUGUCCGGAUUUACUGGGCGUAAAGAGCGCGCAGGCGGUCGUUCAAGUCGCGUGUGAAAGCCCCCGGCUCAACUGGGGAGGGUCACGCGAUACUGAUCGACUGGAAGGCAGGAGAGGGUAGUGGAAUUCCCGGUGUAGUGGUGAAAUGCGUAAGUAUAGGCGGAGAACACCAGUGGCGAAGGCGACUACCUGGCCUGUUCUUGACGCUG